rnacentral:rRNA from 1 species
GACGAACGCUGGCGGCGUGCUUAACACAUGCAAAUAGAACGAAGUGGCGAACGGGUGAGUAAAGCGUAAUCAACCUGCCCUUCAGAGGGGGACAACAGUUGGAAACGACUGCUAAUACCGCAUACUGAAGGAGGGGCUCGCGUUGGAUUAGCUAGUUGGAGGGGUAACGCCCCACCAAGGCGAUAAUCAGUAGCCGGUCUGCGUGGAUGAGCGGCCACAUAGGGACUGAGACACGGCCCAGACUCCUACGUGAGUCAGCAGUGGGGAAUCUCCCGCAAUGGACGAAAGUCUGACGGAGCAACGCCGCGUGAGUGAUGACGGCCUUCGGGUUGUAAAGCUCUGUUAAUCGGGACGCAGUACCGGAAUAGAAAGCCACGGCUAACUACGUGCCAGCAGCCGCGGUAAUAC